rnacentral:rRNA from 1 species
UACAGAGGGUGCGAGCGUUAAUCGGAAUUACUGGGCGUAAAGCGCGCGUAGGCGGCUUUGUAAGUCGGUUGUGAAAUCCCCGGGCUUAACCUGGGAACUGCAUCCGAGACUGCAUAGCUAGAAUUCGGUAGGGGAGACUGGAAUUCCUGGUGUAGCGGUGAAAUGCGCAGAUAUCAGGAGGAACGCCGGUGGCGAAGGCGGGUCUCUGGGCCGAAAUUGACGCUGAGGAGCGAAAGCGUGGGUAGCAAACAGG